UCGGGCGUGGUGCACGGUGCACACCCACUUCACUUGAACCAGAAUAGAGGGGGAUAGAGUGGGUAGGAGACCCGGGUUCGACUCCCGGCGCCCGAA